CUGAAGAUAUUGGAUCAGCCUUCUCGCCAGCCGCCCCCGUCUCGUUAGGUUUCCCCUGCCUGUGAGAAAAAAAACUCGAUAAUCCGUCUCGCUCCGCCGCCGCCAUUCCCCGUCUCGCUCCGCCGCUGGAGCCACCACCCUCCUCCUCCUCGACCGUCUCUGUGUCGAAUCGGGCCGAACUGCUCCCCGCCGCUGCCGGCGGCCCUUAGAGGAUCUCGUCCUCGUCCGGCCAGCAGACGGCGAUGGCAGCGAGGGCCCUCGGGCUCGCCGGCCGAGCACUCCUGCGACCGCUCGCCUCACCAGGCGCCCAGCGCCUGCUGUCAACUGACAAGGUACGUUCACCAGCUCCCCGGUCUAACUGAUCUGACAUUGCUCCCUUCCAUUGCAUUUCCAGUUAAAUUCAGAUAGACCCAUCUAGCUGGCAAUACGUUGGUAGGGUGAACCUCAUGGACUGAAACGGAUAGGUAAAUUCAGGAGCUACGCCACAAUGCUCGUUGCCAAUUCGACCAGUGAUGAUGUAAUUUCAUUUCGUGGGGAUUAGGAGAAGAUCAGAAGAAAACAGAGCAGUUCUUGUAAUCGUUUCUCUACUGUACUUGCACCUCCUUUGCCAUUUCCAGCUAACCUAACAAUUUAACCAAGUGCGGUGCCUGUUGGUGACAGCAAAUGCUCGCUACUACGUAUAACCUUAAAUCUUACAGUAUUAGCUGAUACAUUGCUAUGCGUACACACACUUUUUCUGCAUUUCUUCCAAGUUUUGCUGAACAGAGUGGUCCAUCUUGUUUUCUGGUGCUUGAUACAAUUUGAAUCUCAAUUUGUGCUUUUGCAGGGCCCACUGCAGGGCCUCACUGAUGCCRGUGAUCCGAUA
rnacentral:lncRNA from 1 species